rnacentral:tRNA from 1 species
GGGUAUAUAGCUCAGUGGGAGAGUGCAUGUGUGGUAGGCAUAAGGUCCUGGGUUCGAUCCCCAGCAUCUCCA